CUUCAUUUCCAUCUUUGCACUUACUGGUAUCCAAUGUUUUCUCUGAUUUCUUGUUUACUUUCUCUGCCUGCUGAACAUGGCUUUCUCAGGAACCUCGUCUGUUUUGCAGUCUGCUGUAUCGGCAACAUAUUGAACGGUGCCCAGCACUUAGCAAGUAGUAAGUAUUUACUGACUAAAUUAAUAAGCAGGAAACUGGGCUUUAUGUGGCUGCACUCCUUUGGAAAGCCUGUGGUCAUAGACUAGAGAACCAUGGGUCAUGACAGGGAUGGCUCUUUUUCCAGCAACAUGCAUUCUCCUCAUAUUGAAUAACAGAAUUCUGAAAUCUAGCUAAAAUCAUGCCCACCAGCUGGGUUCACUUCUCCCAGUUUCCUUUCCUGCAUGGAUUGGGCCAACAGAAUGUGGGUGGAAAUGAAGUGACUUAGGCCAUUUCUGAGUUAUGCUCUUAAAAUGUCCAUGCCUCCCCACUCUCCCUGCUACCUAGAUGAGGCCAGGUCUACAAUAACACAUUGGACCCAAAGAUGAAAAUCUUGUGUUGAGGGCAGAGGAGGUGACUUGCUGCCUCUGCAGUUUAUUUCUGAAGUCUUCUACAGAGGAAAAUCGACUUCCAUCUUGCAUUCCAAAUUUCCAUGUCAUCCUUGCACAGGAAUGACAAAGGUUUCUUAAUCACAGCAGUUAGGCCAGUACCCUACAGCUAGUGUUUUUAAAAAUCUUUUUCGACAAUUUACUGUUUUUGCUAUACCUGGUCUGCCUCUGCCAAAAGCUAUUAUCCAAAAACUGUCUCUGUAUUUUUUGGUUUUUUAUUUUAUCUUGAUUAUUUUCCAAGUUAGUUUCUAUAUUCCACAAAAUAUUGUAUUUGCAAUCUUUUAAUGCUGAACCAGGAAGAAAAGACAUGAGAAAAGGACCUACUAGGAGCCAGCAACAAUGCUACAUGCCUUGCCCAUGCUAUGUUGUUUAAUUCUUCUAAUAAGUUUGUGAAUAUGAUGUCAUUACUUUCAUUUUAUAUGUAAGGGAAACAGGUUACAGAGUUUAGGUGUCUUAUCCAAGUUCACACAGUUAGUAAGUGGCACAGUUGGACUUUGAAGCCAGGAGAUAUCUGAGCUUGCUCUUUCCACUACUCUGAACUUAUAUCAGGUUAAUAUCAUGUCUGAUAGCUUAUAUUUGGAUUUUAAUAUUUGUUUUUCAUUUGCCUGUGAUUUAUUUCAUGAAUCAUGUGACUUUUACUUCAUAGAUGUCUACUUCCUAUCUAUAAUGUUUUCAGCUCUCCAUCCCUUUGGGCUGUGUUUUUUUGCUUUUAAAAUAAAAAUUGUGGUAAAGCAUAUGUAACAUAAGAUUUACCAUUUUAGUCCUUUUAAGUGUACAGUUCAGUGGCCUCAAGUACAUUCACACUGUGCAACCAUCAUCACUAUUAAUCUUCAGAACUUUUUCAACAACCCUGAAGAAAAUAUGGAAUGCAUUCCAAGUUUCCAUGUCAUCCUUGCACAGGGGCCACACCAGUGUCUGCAUAGGUGCAAUGUUAGUAGAUAUUCAGCAAAGCAGGUACAGGGGUCCUUGUGAUUAAGCCAUUGGUUCUCUAAUUUGGGGCUCCGCUCCCCUUUCCUUCCUUCCUUCCUUCCUUUCUCUCUCUCUCUCUCUCUCUCUCUCUCUCUCUCUCUCUCUCUCUCUCUCGCUCUUUCUUUCUUUCUUUCAUUUGCUGCAGCUUAGUAAUGAAAUACAGUGUCCCAGCCAUAACCAUGCCUGCACAGGGUCAUGAGAGAGGGGAAGGAGAGAUAGGCAUGAUUCUUUAUAAAUCAGCCUGGCUUGGAUCUCAUCUUUGCUGUCUGCCCCCACCAACAGUCAGGACAUGAAGCAAAGAAACAAGAGAAAAUUCAUAGAUGGCUUAAUUAAAAUCUGAGUAGUUUUGGAACUCACUUCCAACAGUGAACUGUGACCUUGAUUUGCUACACUUUGGAGCCAUUGAGGUGAGCUUCAAAACACCAGGAGGUCACUAAAAUGGCUAAACUGAGCCCUGAGGCUGGAGGGAGAGAUGGCAGUCACCAGGUCCUGCACCUUCCCCAAGGUUCAAAGUAAGGCCAUGACCUACCAGUCAGGAAUUUAAACUUGACCCCGGGGUAGGAGGCGGGUAAACAGGUAGGAUUUCUGGCUUCUUUACAGUAGUGCUCCUUGACAUCCACCAGUGAGCCUCACCCUGCCCAACACCCUCUUGUUCCUCUAGAGGCUAUAUGAAAGUCUUUCCCUUCAUAACUAAUGCCACAAGUCCCAUCAGCUCCGUUCAGCAGGGCUUUGAUCUCUUGGCUCCUUUAGAUCCAGGGCUGGGAGGCUAGCAGAAACUUAAAAAGGGGAGGGGCAGCAAUUAUGGAUACUCUGCUUUGCCCUCCAGAUGCCCAUAGGACUGAAAAGUUUAUUCCCCCAGCUGCUGGUGGGCGAAUCUGUCUCAGAGACCUGCUUCCUGGGAAGCUAACUUCCAACAGCUCCAAAAUGAAGACAACUCAGAUCCUCGUGAAUAAACGUUUACUGGAAUGUUUAGAGAUGCCACAUUAUGUCAACUCCAUUAAUUGUUAAAUGUGGUAUUCAUGAACAUUUAUAAUAUCAUUAUCUCUAAUCACAAUCUGUAGGUUAGAAUUUUCUUUUCAUAUAAAUUCCAUAAUGGUUGCUGAGAAAUCAUAGCAAACUGUAAAUUAAAUGCAGCACUUAUGGCCAAACGAUUUCAAAAGCAAAGUCAUUAGGUUGAACCAUAUGAAAUUGCUAAAUAUCAGGCCAUUUGUCGACCUUGCUAAAUGGCAAUUUCAUAUGAUUCAAUAUAACAUCCCAUCAAAAGUAUUUACCAAAAAAAUCCUACUUAAUUUGGAAAGUAGCUGCAUUCUAAUGUGUUUGCCUUCUCAUAGUAAGCAAGCCAGGGCCUAUGAAAAUGUUUUUAAAAGCCUUGUUUCUUUGGAAUAAAGAUGCUGAAGCAGAACCUGGAGACAAAGUCAAGGAUAAUGUCAAGAUUCGGGGGCAGAGAAAGCAACCUGAAGCACAGACCUGCUUCCCAGGGCCUGACUCCUUGGGCACUGGAAGCACUUCCUGCCUCCAGGGUUUCAUCUUCUUUGAAAACAAGGUCCUCCCUUGAUUUUCUCCUGUCCCCCUUUCUGCUUAUAUUAGUUGGUUUUCCAACACCAUGAUGAAAUACCUGAGACAAUUAAUUUAUAAGAAAAAAAGUUUAUUUGGGUUCAGAAUUUGGGGGGUUUGAGCUCAUAAUUAAUUGGCCCCAUUGCUUUGGGCCUGUGGUGAGACAGAGCAUCAUGGCAGGAACACAAAGCCCAGCAAAGCACUUACUACAUAUGGGAAGAGGCUCUGUGUUUAUUUCUGCUGUUUGAUUAUUUUUGUGAUUGGACUGAUUCAACACUGAAGUACUCAGGCCUUUCAUUUUUACUUAUUGCAAAUUCAGAAGUCUAAUGGUUGGUGUAGAGGACUUUAAAUUCCUAACGUGUGGGUUCUCACCACCGUGCUUAACCAAGUUGGACCUGCUACUUUCCCUUGUCCCUCACCCCAUACAGGAUGUCUAUGAAAGGGUAUGGGGAGCAGAGGGGUGCUGCAUCUGCCCAGGGUGCCCUCCUGACCCCAGUAAGGACUGGGCUGAGCUGGACCAAGAGAACAAAAGUGGUGGAGACGCUCAGAGAAACUAAAAACUAAAAAUCCUGUAGGCGGGCACAUUCAAAAGGCAAAUCUCUGCGGGCUAUCAGAAAAAGGACAUUUCCUUAAAAAAUGAAUUUAUGGGCUGAGAUUGUGGCUCAGUGGUAGCGCGCUUGCCUAGCAUGUGUGAGGCACUGGGUUCAAUUCUCAGCACCACAUAUAAACAAAUAAAUGAACAAAGGUCCAUUGAUAACUAAUAAAUUUUUUUUAAAAAAAUGAAUUUACAUAGGGCACAGUGGCUCACACCUAUAAUCCCAACUGCUCAGAGGCUGAGGAAAGAGGAUCCCAAGUUUGAAGCCAGCCUCAGAAACUUAGCAAGGCCCUGAGCAACUUAACAAGACCUGUCUCAAAAUAAUAAAUAAGAAGCACUGGGGAUGUGGCUCAGCAGUCAAGUACCUCUGUGUUCAGUCUUUAGUAACCCCCAAAAUUAUUCGAGUUAGCCAGAUACACUGGUACAUACCUGUAAUCCCAACAACUCAGGAGGCUAAGGCAGGAGGAUGAAAGUUCUGGACCAACCUGAGCCACUUAGUGAGAUCUGGUCUCAAAAUAAAAUUUAAAAGGGGCUGGGGAUGUGGUUCAGUAAAGUACAUCCUGAGUGCCCCCAGACCCAAUCUCUUCAGCUCUACAAAGAAAUCAAACAAACACGCUCAGCGCAGAGAAUUGUGUAUGACAAGUACCCAAUAUAAACUCAAACAGACUUUAUCUAAUUCAGAAGAUUCGGCACUAUUUCUCAUACACCAUUAACUGCUCAAAAUCUAACUUUCUUCAUAUUUAGAACAUGACUUUCUUAUAAUUUGAUUUCCCUGAACAUCUAGUGACCAUUCUCUUUCUGUUGAAAAAAAUAUUUUUUAAUGCCACCAUCUUAUUCUUGGCAGACGGUAUGUGGAUAGAUGAGAUCUUUAUCUCAUGAUUUAUCUAAUGUCACCCACCAUCUUCCUGAAUAGUGUUUCCAUGGAGCCUCUGACUUCCUUUCUAAUUUGGACUCAGUUCUACUGAGGCACUCAGAGCAACUGUCAUCUUGGUAUUUCUUGUCAUUGUCUUACUAGGUUAGGUUCUUAGAGCCCCAGUUUUUUUCCUUCUUGGAUUCCUUUUCUGCUCAUCUCCCAGUAUGUCUCUAAGUAACUCUUCUAGAAAUAGCAUAUAGAAGACAAGCUUCUGAUUCUUUGCUUGUGUCUGAAAUAUUUUUACAUUUAAUCCAACUGGCAUAUAUUUCUAUGUUCAAGUUAUUUGCCUCCAAAUCUGGAACUUGCUCCCUUCCCUUCCCUUCCCUUCCCUCCCCUCCCCUCCCCUCCCCUCCCCUCCCUCCUUCCUUCCUUCCUUCCUUCCUUCCUUUCUUCAUGAGAUUGAACUCAGAGCCUCAUGCAUGUACCACCGAGCUACACCCCAGCUUAUCCAUUGUCUUGUAACAUCCAGUGCUGCUGAGGUCAGUCUGAUUAAAUUUGACUUGGGUCUCUUCACAAACAAUCUUCUGUGUCAGGAUAUUCUUUUUAUCCUUACAGAUCUCAUCAGUAUGUCUCUGUGUGAGCCCUGUCAAUCUCAAGACUUUCAUUCCUCUGUUUGGUAAAACGUUAUGUCCAGGCUAGGAUUAUGGCUCAAGGGUAGAGCACUCGCCUAGCAUGUGCGGAGGCCUUGGGUUCGAUCCUCAGCACCACAUAAAAAUACACAAAUAAAUUAAGGUUAAAAAAAAGUUAUGUCCUCUUUCUGUAUUCUUUCCAGCAUCGUGUGGGAAGGUGAACUGUCCAGGCCUUUUCUCAGUCUUUCCUCACCUUUUUCCUCUCUUUACUUCCUGUCUCUGCCUUUUGGAAGAUUGCUUUUUUUUUUUUAUCCUCCAAACUUUCUCUUCCCCAGCACUAAUUCAGUCCUUGCUUCAUCUAUUCUAUUUAUUAGACUUCCCGGAAUUUUGAAAUUAAUUUUGAUAAUUAAAUUGUCAAGAUUUCACUUCUUGGAAUUCUAAUUUUCUGAUUUUGCUUUUCAAUAGCAACUUGCUUUUGAUGUAUGAAUCUUUCCAAGAGUUCUGAUGAGAAUGUUCCAAAAAUGCUCUUCCUCCUGGCAUUCUUGGGGUUUCCCAUAGGAAACCCAACUCCUCUUUUGUUUGUUCAUGACUUGAUUCCUCUUACAGUGGUGAUUAAUUGCCUGAUUACCUGUGUGCUUUUGUGUUGACCACUGGGCUUCCUCCUAGUAGCCUUUUUGAGUAGUAUUUUGAAAGCACUAAGGACAGGGAUUGGGAAAGCCUGAGUAAGGCAUCCCAGGUUGACCUUGUGCAUUGAUGAUUGUUUGUUUCUUCAUGACUGCCCUUCUGACUGGUGUGAUAAAAUCUCAGUGUAGUGUUGAUUUGCAUUUCCCUUAUUACUAAAGAUGUUUAACAUAUUUUUCACAUAUUUGUUGGCCAUUUAUAUUUCUUCUUUUAAGAAAUAUCUAUUUAAUUCAUUUGCCCAUUUUUUAUUUGUUCUUUUUAGAUAAACAUAAACAGUAGAGUGUAUUUUGAUACAUCAUACAUACAUGGAAUAUAACUAUUCUAGUUAGGAUCCCAUUCUUGUGGUUGUACAUGAUGUGAGGCUUCACUGAUGGUGUGAAACUUAUUUCACUUAACAUAAUGGUCACAAAUAAGUCAUUUGUGAGCAUAGGAAAGUUAUAUCCGAUUCAUUCUACUCCCUUUGCUAUUCCCAUCACUCCUUCCUUCCCUUCAUUCCCCUUUGUUUUAUCCAAUGAACUUCUAUUCUUCCCCCUUCCUACCCUCCUUUGUUGUGGGCUAGCAUCCACAUAUCAGAGAGAACAUUUGGCCUUUAAUUUUUUGGGAACUGGCUUAUUUCAUUUCCAUUUACUGGCAAAUGCCAUAAUUUCCUUUUUCUUCAUGGCUGACUAAUAAUCUGUUGUGUAUGUAUAUCACAUUUUCCUUAUCCAUUCAUCUGUUGUAGGGCACCUAGGUUGAUUCCAUAGCUUGACUAUUGUGAAUUGAGCUGCUAUAAACAUUGAUGUGGCUAUGUUAUUGUAGUAUGCUGAUUUUAAGUCCUUUGGGCAUGUACUGAGGAGUGGGAUAAUGGAUAAAUGGUGGUUCCAUUCCAAGUUUUCUGAGGAAUCUCCAUACUUCUUUCCAUAGUGGUUGCACCAAUUUUUAUUUGCCCAUUUAUUAAUUGGGGUUUUCAGAUUUUUUAUUUUAAUUUUUUGAGUUGUGUAUUCUAGAUAUAAUCCUCUGACAGAAGAGUAGCUAGCAAAGAUUUUCUUCCAUUCUAUAGGUUCUCUCUCUUCUCAUUCUUAAUUGUUUUCUUUGCUGUUAAGAAGUUUUUUCUAAUUUGAUGCCAUUCCAUUUGUUAACUUUUGGCAUUAUUUCCUGACCUUUGGGUAUUCUAUUGAGAAAGUUGUUGCCUGUGCCUAUGCAUUGGAGUGUUGGCCCUACAGUUUCUUCUAGGAGUUGCAUAGUUUCUGGUCUUAUUCCUGGAUCUUUUAUCCACUUUGCAUUGAUUUUGUGCAGGGUGAGAGAUAAGGGUCCAGUUUCAUUCUUCUACAUAAGGACAAACAUUUUCCCCAGCACUAUUUGUUUAAAAGGCUGUCUUUUCUCCAACAUGCUUUGCCAAAAACCUCUAGCACUCUUUUGGUGGAGUUUGUUUGUUUGUGGUUUGUUUGUUUGUUUGUUUGUUUUGUUUUGUUUGGAUCUUCUAAAUGCAGGAUCAUAUCAUUAGCAAAUUGUGAUAAUUUGACUUCUUCCUUUCUAUUUUUAUCCCUUUUAUUUCCUUCUCUUGCCUAAUUGCUCUGGAUAGAAUUUCUAGCACUAUAUUAAAUAGGAGUGGUGAGAGUAGACUUGUUCCAGAUUUUAAAGUACAUGCUUUCAUUUUUUUCCCCAUUUUCUAUGGACUGAGACCUCUGAAACCGUGAACCCCCAAAUAAAGGUUGGCUCUGGCUUUUUCAUAAAUAGCCUUUAUAAUGUUGAGGUACUCGCCUUCUAUCCCUAGUUUAUUGUGUGUUUUUAUCAUGAACAGGUGCUGAAUUUUGUUGAAGGCUUUCUCUGCCAUCUAUUGAGAUGACUAAGUGAUCUUUGUCCUUAAUCCUAUUCAUAUGAUGAAUUACAUUUAUUGUUUGUGUAUGUUAAACCAUCUUUGCAUCUCAGAUAAAACCAAAGACUGUCAUGAUGUAUAAUCUUAAUAUGUUAUGGAACAUGAUUUGCUAAUACUUUAUUAAGAAUUUUUACAUCUAAGCUCAUUAGAUAUAUUGAUCUAUCAUUUUUUUCCUUGAUGUGUCCUUAUCUGGUAUUGGCAUGAGUGUGAUACUUGCUUCAUAGAAUUAAUUUGGAAGUGUUCCAUCCCUUUCUAUUUCAUGGAAUAAUUUAAGGAGUAUUGGCAUUAGUUGUUCUUUAAAGGUCUGAUAAAAUUCAGCUGAGAAUCCAUAUGGUCCUGGGCUUUUCUUUGUUGGAAGGCUUUUCAUUGCUGCUUCUAUUCCAUUACAAGUUGUUGGUCUGUUUAGGUUUUGUAUGUCUUCUUGAUUAAAUUUUGGCAGAUCUUAUGUGUCUAAAAAUGUAUCCAUUUCUUCUAGAUUUUCCAGUUUAUUGGAGCAUAAGUUUUCAAAAUGGUCCCUAAUGAUCCAUUGGAUUUUUGUGAUGUCUCAAGUGAUUUCUCCUUUUUAGUCUCUAAUUUAUUAAUAUUAUUAAUUUAGGUCUUCUCUCUUUUUCUUUUGGUUAGUCUGACUUACGUUUUAGUCAGUUUUUUGUUUUUGUUUUUUGCCACUGUGACUAAAAGACCCAGCCAGCACAAUUGUAGAGGAGAAAAUUUUUAUUUGGGGGUUCACUGUUUCAGAGGUCUCAGUCCAUUGACUGUAGGCUCCUUUCCUCUGGGCUCAAGGUGAGGCAGGACAUCAUGGUGGAAAAGUGUGGUGGAGGGAAGCAGCUCACAUGAUGAUCAGAAAGCAGAGAGAGAGAGAGAUCUCCACUUGCUAAAUACAAAUAUAUACCCCAAAGCCACACCCUCACUGCCAGACCUCCUUCAGCCAUUCCCUACUUGCCUUCAAUCACCACAAAGUUAAUCCCAUCAGAUGACUGAUUCACUGAUUGGGUUAAGGCCCUCACAAUUCAAUCAUUUCUCCUCUAAACCUUCUUUCAUUGACUCAUACAUGAGCUUUUGGGGGACAUCUCACAUCCAAACCAUAACAACUUAUCAAUCUUGUUUAUAUUUUCAAAAAAUCAACUUUGUUUCAUUGAUCCUUUGUUCUUAUUUUAUUCUCAAUUUCAUUGUUUAAGUUCUGAUCUUAAUUAUUUCCUUUCAUCUACUUGUUUUAGAAUUGGCUUGUUCUUCUUUUUCAAGGGCCUUGAGAUGCAUCAUUAGCCUGUUUACUUGGGAUCUCUCCAAUUUUCUUUAUUUUUGGCAGAGGGGGAGUACUAGGGAUUGAACUCAGGGGCAUUCAACCAGUGAGCCACAUCCUCAGUCAUAUUUUGUAUUUUAUUUAGAGACAGGGUCUCACUGAAUAAAUAGUUUAGCAUCUUGCCAUUGCUAAGACUGGCUUUGGACUCGAAAUCCUCCUGCCUCAACCUCCUGAGUUGCUGGGAUUACAGGCAUGGGCCGCCAUGCCCAGCUCUGAUUUUUCUUAUAAAGGCACUCAUAUAUAAAAACUUUCCUCUUAGAACUGCCUUCAUAGUGUCCCAGAGUUUCUGGUAUGUUGUAUCACUUUUCUUGUUUGAGUCUAAGAAUUUUUGAAAUUUCUUCUUCCCUGAUUUCUUCUAUCACCCAUUCAUCAUUCAAAUGUGUAUUGUUCAAUCUCCAUGUGCUUGUAUAGUUUCUGUAGGGUUUUGUUAUGUUGAUGUGAUAGUAGGAGCAAAUGUGACUCCAUUUUGUUUUAUGACUUCAUCCUGUAACACAACCAUGCCAAGUAGAAGGGUCAUGACUGGAGCAAGAUGUUCUUUUCCUUUUGCUAUAGAAACCUUUAAGAACACGGAACUACCUAAUGAGGCAUUGUUUCUGUAACUAGGGUAACGGGGCUCUGUUUCUGUAACUGGGGUGACUGGGGUAACUGUGAUUGGUUAGGCUUCCCUCCGCUUGACUGCACUGUCCCACUUCUGUAACCUGGCUUGCUUGCAUUGGCUAGACCCCCUGAACAUCCCUUUUGCGGUUUUCAGGCUUAUAAGGAGUGCCCUUGCAAUUGUUCAGGGCUGAUCAGGGGAACAGCUUUAUGUUCUGGUCAGCCGCCACUGGUGUGCUUCAAUAAAGGCUUGAUUCAAUUAUACGUGAGUGGUCUGGAAGUCAGUUUGUGAAACCCUGAGAUGAAGCUUUAACUAUAACAUUGAUUUCAAAUUUCAUUCCUUUAGGAUCUGAUAAAUGCAAGGAAUUGUAUCAAUCUUUUGUAUUUGCUAAGAGUUGCUUUGUGGCCUAGAAUCUGGUCUAUUUUAAAGAAGGUGUCAUGAGCCACUGAGAAGAAAGUAUAUUCAGCUGUUGUUGGAUGAAAUAUUCUACAGAAGCCUGUUAGGUCCAUUUGAUUUAUAAUAUUUUUCAGGUACCAAGAGUCUUUACUGAGUUUAUUUCUGGAUGACCUGUCUAAUGGGGAGAGAGGUGUAUUCAAAUCACCCAGUAUAAUUAAUUGUACUGGAGCUAUCUGAGGUUUCAAUUUGAAUAGUGUCUCUUUUAUGUAAUUAGUUGCAUCUACAUCUGGGGCAUAAGUGUUUAUUAUUAUUAUAUCUUCUUCAACAAGAAGAAUGUUCUCUUUACCAAUAUGAAGUGACCUUGUCUCUUGGGAUUAAUUUUGGUUUGAAGUCUACUUCAUCAGAUAUGAGAGUAGGUACUCCUUUUGUUUCUGGGCUCUAUUCACAUGGUAUAUCAAUUUUGAUCCUUUCACUUUCAGUCUUUGUCUAUCUUUGCCUGUAAGGGGCUUCUAUUGCAAAUGACAUACAGUUGGGUCUUAUUUUUCAAUCCAUUCUGCCAGCCUAUGUUUUCAAUUGGAGAGUUGAGACCAUUUAUGUUCAAUAUUAUUAUAGAGAGAUGUUUAUGAAUUCCUGCCGUUUUGAUGUAUUGAUAAUCUUUAAUUUGGUCCUGUUUCUCAUUUGCUUAGCUACUCUUAAAAGAGAUUUCUUCCUUUGUGAACCCUGGGGUUUGUUUAUUUCUUCUGGGUAGAUACUUCUUUUUAAAAAAAAAAAUAUUUUUAGUUAUAGAUGGUCACAUACCUCUAUUAUAUUUAUUUUUAUGUGGUGCUGAGGAUUGAAUCCAGUGCCUCACACAUGCUAGGCAAUUGCUCCACCACUGACCUACAAACCCAGGCCAUGAGUAGAUACUUCUUUAGGUAAGUUCUGUAAGGCCAGAUUAGUAGUCAUGAAUUUAUCAUUCACUUCCUCUAGUGACUUUCUUAAUUUAUUCAGUUGUCUUUCUGUGUUUUCUUAGAAUUUGUUGAUUUUUAUAAUCGUUCUUCUGAAUUAUUUAUCUGGUAUUUCAUCCACCUCUAUAUUUUGGGGGUCAGUUGCUGGUGAAUUAUGAACUUUGGGAGAUGCCUUGUUACCCUGCUUUUCAUAUUUCUUGUGUUCCUGUGCUGGUUUUAUGCAUCUGUUGAAAUGGAUUCCUCUUCAACUCUUAUGUGUGGGUCUCUAUAGGGCACAGCCUUCACUUGCCAAAGUGUCUAGAGUGAUCUAGACUGAGACCCCCUCAUUGGUGUGAUAGCCACAGCCUUUGUGUUAAUUGUUUUUGCUGUAGCAGUGGAUGUCCAUGAGUGGAACUGAGGGCCCACCCCAGCUCUUUUUAUUCUAGGCGUGGUUGUUAGUUUGAGUUUUUGUCUCUUCUAUUCUUCGUAUUAAAGUAUAGCUGGAGUUUUAGUGUCUUACUUUGUGUGUGGAGCAAGGUAUGCUAUCUUUAUGUUGAUUUUAGUUCAGCAGAAGAGUCCCUCCCCUGUGAACUUAUAGUGUCCCUGUAGGUUCCCGGUAUCUCACAGAAUAGAGGGAAACAAACAAUAGCAAUAACCACUGCAAACAAUCCACAGCAUUAAAAUUAACACCUUGUUCCUAUUAUAAUAUCUACAAUUUAAUUCACACACACAAUCACACACACACACACACAAAGAAAGAAAGAAAAGAAAAACCAUAGGCAUAGUGAGGUCAUCAAUUGCCAACGGCAAAAACAAUAAGUAACCAUGAACUAGAUCUAGCAUUGAAGCAAACAAGAGGUGUCAACUAUGUUAUCUACAGCAAUAUUAAUUGUAAUAGCAUGAAUGUUGGGGGCAGGGAUUAUAUAAACCAGUCCUUAAAAAUUGGUAAAAAAAAAAUAUAUAUAUAUAGUUCAUUUAGAAGAGAAUGUGGUAGGAAGGUAGAAGAGAGUUUACAAUUUUAAAAAAAUGAACAGAGAAUGCAAAAGAGAUAUAGCAGGUGAUGCUUAUAAGGAAGGAAGAGAAAAUAGUAAAAACAAAGGAAAAGGGGAGAAAAAGAGAAAACGAGAAUUUGGCUGGUAACAGGAGAAAAGAGAAAUAGAAACAAGUGAAACAAACAAAUGAAACAAACCAAAAAAUCCUAACCCACAAAAGACAUGGAAAGGAAAAAUAACUACAUUUAAGUGGGAAAAAAAUGAAAGAAAGAAAAAAAAAUAAAGAACGAUUCUUAAUGAAAAAUGAAGAAAUUGUCUCUACUGAAGUGUUCAAAACAAUUGAUGAGAAUGGAUGGUCACUGCCUAUGCCCAAGUGUUCUUUCCAUGGACUAUGUACUGAGUGGGGAGGGGACUGGGGGUUGUUAACCUCUUUCUUUUUGUGUGUUACUGAGUUGCCAGUUGGAAUGGUUCAGACUGAAUCUGGUUGAAAUAAUUCCCAGCUUCCCUUCCCAUCAGUAUAAGGUAAGAUGCAGUGAGAAAUACUGUCAGGUGGAGCUCUGCUCAGACCAGAUGUGUGCACUCCCAGAUGGGGCUGCUGCAGAGUUCUGUGGGAGAAGUUCUGGCCACUGAGGCUUAGGUCUCAUCAGACCUCAGGGGUUUUGUUGGGUGGUAUCUGCUCUGGAGAGAUUAAAUCAACACACCCCUAAGCCCAGCAGUUGCUGAUCUCUGGCAGGAGUUUGAAUCUCAGGAGCCUCCCAAGAAUUCUACCUGUGGGGCAGGGGAGCCAAUCCUUUACCCACUCUGCUGCCCACAGACACAGUCCUUCCAGGGUUAGCCUCUGAGUAUAUUCACAACCGCCUGUUCAGAUUCCCAACCCACUUCAGCUGGUCACAUGAGCCACCAGACUCAAAGGAAAAGCUAGUUGGGCUCCCUUUCACUUAACCAACUUGAAUCCACCUGGAUACAGUCUUUUCUGUGCCUGUUUCACUCACAUUAUGCUAGGUACAUCCUAGGCCGCAUGGCAGGUGCUUGCCGGGACAGUGUGGCAGAGUUUGCUGUGACCUCCCGGCUCCUGCAGCCUGGCCUCCUCAAGAUGGCUGCCACCUCCACUCUCCAUGGCCAGUUGAGAAACAGCACUUUUCAAACAGUUCACAAUGCAGCCUCUGGAUCCUCUAAGUGCAGGCUGCUUUUCUGAUCUCAGGUUUUCGUGCCAAAUCUGUCCAUUGUAUUUCUUUCUGGGUUCUCCGUUCCCUCUGAGGUGAACCAAUGGCCCUGCCACUGUUGCUGCUGCAGGGCCGACUUGGCUCCAACAUUCCAUGCACCCAAAUUUCUGAGCCUCUGAGACGCUCUGACUGUCCAAUAAUGAAGUUUAGUGAAAUCCCACCUUGCUGAGAAGCAGUACUCCUGCUGCUUGAAUCUCAAGCCACAGAGCAACUAGGAAUGCAGCCUUCCUCUAAUCUGCCAUCUUUCUUUCUCUCUCGACAAAGGAUUUUCAACAGAGGGAAAGAGAGGCCAGUACGAUGGGAAAGAGGCUCACUUCUAAUUUACUGACCAUCAAAACCCCCACCACUACCUCCAUCUGCUCUUGUCUCCCGGGAGAGAAACUUGAAGAAUGACUUCUCUUCUUGACUUGUCUCCUCAACAAACAGAAACCCAGGGACUUGCCUCUCCAUGGAGUCCUACAGAACUGAGAGAGGAGCCGUGAAACCACUGGGAUGAGAACUGGCCCAGGGUCCAGGGUGGCGCAUAGUCCUGGCCGGCUCCCCAGGCUCUGGCCCAGCGCUGGCACCAGGCAGCCUGACUCGUUGCCCAACACCACCAGCAUGAGGCAUGGACCUCACACAUCGAUUUAAUGCAACACCUCUGCUUCUUGGCCAGCUCUGCCUAAGGAAGCAACUCUGAUUUGUUCUCUGAGCUCUCAGAAACUUUGGUUUUUUUAGCUGCUUCUGGCAAUUCUCAAACAUAUCCAAAAGUGGGGAGAACAAUAGAAACAGCACAAAGAACCCUCCUGUGCCCGCACCCAGCUUUGACAAUUAUCAAUGUGUUGUCCAGCUGAGAGUUUCUUUUAAAAAGAACUUUUUUUUUCCUCUCCAAAAUGAGACUCUCCUUUUCCAAGGACAAAAGUGUAAGCCCCUCUUCCAGAAACUCUGUGACUGGGUCCAAGAAAACAGUGUUAGAAAGUCUCACAGUGAUUCUGGUCCCACUGAGACGGAGACACCAUUAGUUCACUCUGUCCCCAGCACUGUUUCUAUAAAUACUUAGUUCUCAAAAGUGAUGAACAAUGGGACACUCAGAAAACAUAAAGGGAACAUGGUUACAUUGGUCUGUAUGAAAAAUGCAAAUGACAAGACAGCCAAAGAUCACAACAAAGAGGAAAGAAUGAGAGAACAUAGGUAAUAUCCUCAAAAUUCAUAAAAAGCUCUUAUAAAUUACUCACAUUUAUUAAAAAUAGAAAUAUUUACAAAAUUCCAUAGAUAAAGGCUAGAAACAGGCUUAGCUUGUUAAGAAGUAGAAGAGAGUCUGAAAAUGGCCAAUAAUCUAUGUAUACAUGCUUGAUCUCCUUGGAUGCCAGGAAAAGGCAAACUAAAAUGAUGAGGAACCACUGGGUGGUGUGGCACACGCCUGUAAUCCCAGCAGCUCAGGAGGAUGAGGCAGGAGGAUCCUGCGUUCAAAGCCAGCCUCAGCAAAAGAGAGGCAAUAAGCAAUUCAGUGAGACCCUGUCUCUAAAUAAAAUACAAAAUAGGACUGGGGAUGUGGCUCAGUGGCUGAGUUGCCCCUGAGUUCAAUCCCUGGUACCUGCCACCCCCCCCAAAAAAAAAUGAUGAGAAACUAUUUCUACCCAUCACACUGGCUAAUAUUGGAAUGAUCCUUACUCUCCCAUGAUGGUGAGGUUUGAUGAAGACGGCUACACUUGUUCCCUGACAGUAGAUUGUGAAGCAUUGCAAACUCUCCUGAGAAUAAUCUGGUACCAUAUAUUAAAGUACAUAACACACAAAUAAAUGCUGUUGGAUCCAGAAAUCCUAUUUUAGGACAUCCACACCAGAAAAAUAAAAGCAUGAAUAUAUUAAAACAUGUUUCACAAUGAUAUCAGUAAUUAACAUUCACCAUGAAGGGGAGUGCUCACCAAGUGCCAAGUGCCAAAACAGAGGUUGUACAACGACAUCUAGAUUGAUCUUCACAACAACUUUAUGAGAUAGUUACCAUUAGCUCAUAGGUAAAGACUAAAAUUUAGCAAAAUUAAAUAUGUUGUCCAAGGUUUUCAAAUGUGUCAAUGAAUAUUGGAGUUAGGACUUGAAAUUGUUGAUAUGACUACAGAGCUCAUGCUCUUACCAAAUUAGAUUUUUUAAAAAAAAACAA
rnacentral:lncRNA from 1 species